CGCCUUUUGGGAAAAUAGAAGGUCUAGCCUGCCCACUGAAUAAAUUAAAGGGCCGCGGUAUUUUGACCGUGCAAAGGUAGCAUAAUCAUUAGUCUUCUAAUUAAAGGCUGGAAUGAAUGGUUGAACGAGAUGCUAGCUGUCUCAUUAAAAUGGGUAGAAUUUAACUUUUUAGUCAAAAGGCUGAAAUGUUGUUGGAGGACGAGAAGACCUUAUAGAGCUUUACACAAACCUUUUCUAUUUAGUUUGGGGAAAUUAGGAAUUUAAGGAGGAAUGUGUUUCGUUGGGGUGACGGGAAGAUAUAAUGAACUCUUCUUAACUAGACCAUAGAUGAAUGUUUAUUUGAUCCAUUCUUAAUGAUUAAAAGACUAAGUUACCUUAGGGAUAACAGCGUAAUCUUUUUUGAGAGUUCUAAUCGACAAGAAGGGUUGCGACCUCGAUGUUGGACUAAGGAUUAUUCUCAGGUGUAGCCGCUUGAGGUUUAGGUCUGUUCGACCUUUGAAUCCUUACAU
rnacentral:rRNA from 1 species